CCAGAGAAGAAGAAAACACCCCCCAUUUUGCUGAGCCCCAGCAGGGUGAACAGAGGGAAAAGGUGCUUCAGGGCAGGAAGAAACUGUGAAGAAAUAGGUUUGGACAGGAGUUGAAGGAUUGUAUGCCCAAUUGAGCCUACAACUGAAAGCAAUGAGCUGGAUGGACACUCCUGGUAUGGGGUUGGAGGGUGAGUACUACCUGCCUGAGUACCACACCGCUUCCUUUAGGACACUGGGAGAUUUGCUGGAGCUCGCCCAUCUGACCCAAUCCUCCACAUGAGAUCUGGCAAGAUAAUCACUCCAAGCGUCUGGGGAGCAUCACUAGAAGCAAGUUCAGGGUAAAGAGAGGGUGUGAUGCAGCAGGUGAGGAGGACUUCAUCACCAAGAACAUAAAAC
rnacentral:lncRNA from 1 species